CGGAAAGGUCCUGGAGUCUCGCCAGUAGGCAGCCUGCACACCGACUAAAGCAGACAGAGUCACUCCAGCUGAAUGAGCUCCAGCUUUCUGACAAUACUGUACAGCAAUAGAGGAAAAAAGAACUGAAUUGAUGUAUAGCUCUCCAGGAACAUAAAAGUCAAAGAGGAAAAACAUCUCAGACUGUCUGGAAAUAGCUGGACAAGAGUUGAUUAAGAAAGCCCCCAGGAGUUGAAGGAACUGUUUAAAGUGCAGCAGCAAUACAGACGGACUGAAGAAGGAUGCUUCUGCUCUGCCAGUUUAGGACUACAAAAUGACAAGACAGGACCUGUAAAAGAAGGAAG